rnacentral:pre_miRNA from 1 species
AGUUUGAUCACUGGAUCAUAUGAAAGAGUAUGUUUAAUUUUAUAAGAAACUGUCAAAUUGCCUUCCAAAAUAACUGUACCAUUUUACAUUCCCACCAGUAAU